rnacentral:rRNA from 1 species
CAGCCGCCACGGGAAUACGUUGGUGGCGAGCGUUGUCCGGAAUUAUUGGGCGUAAAGGGAGCGCAGGCGGGCGAGUAAGUCUUUCUUAAAAGUGCGGGGCUCAACCCCGUGAGGGGAGAGAAACUACUCAUCUUGAGUGCAGGAGAGGAAAGCGGAAUUCCUAGUGUAGCGGUGAAAUGCGUAGAUAUUAGGAAGAACACCAGUGGCGAAGGCGGCUUUCUGGACUGUAACUGGCGCUGAGGCUCGAAAGCCAGGGGAGCGAACGGGAUUAGAUACCCCUGUAGUCCCUGUCUCUUAUACC